AGAGUUUGAUCAUGGCUCAGGAUGAACGCUGGCGGCGUGCUUAAUACAUGCAAGUCGAGCGAGGACCACUUGGUGGCAACACCGGGUGGCUCCUAGCGGCGAACGGGUGAGUAACACGUGGGCAACCUGCCCCCGACUCUGGGAUAAGCCCGGGAAACUGGGUCUAAUACCGGAUACGAGCCUCUUCCGCAUGGAGGAGGUUGGAAAGGGUCUCCGGUCGGGGAUGGGCCCGCGGCCUAUCGGCUUGUUGGUGGGGUAACGGCCCACCAAGGCGACGACGGGUAGCCGGCCUGAGAGGGUGAACGGCCACACUCGGACUGAGACACGGCCCAGACUCCUACGGGAGGCAGCAGUAGGGAAUAUUGCGCAAUGGGCGAAAGCCUGACGCAGCGACGCCGCGUGAGGGAUGAAGGCCUUUGGGUUGUAAACCUCUUUCAGCAGGGAAGAAGCGAAAGUGACGGUACCUGCAGAAGAAGCACCGGCUAACUACGUGCCAGCAGCCGCGGUAAUACGUAGGGUGCAAGCGUUGUCCGGAAUUAUUGGGCGUAAAGGGCUCGUAGGCGGUCUGUCGCGUCGGGAGUGAAAACUCAGGGCUUAACCCUGAGCCUGCUUCCGAUACGGGCAGACUAGAGGUAUGCAGGGGAGAACGGAAUUCCUGGUGUAGCGGUGGAAUGCGCAGAUAUCAGGAGGAACACCGGUGGCGAAGGCGGUUCUCUGGGCAUUACCUGACGCUGAGGAGCGAAAGUGUGGGGAGCGAACAGGAUUAGAUACCCUGGUAGUCCACACCGUAAACGUUGGGCGCUAGGUGUGGGACUCAUUCCACGAGUUCCGUGCCGCAGCUAACGCAUUAAGCGCCCCGCCUGGGGAGUACGGCCGCAAGGCUGAAACUCAAAUGAAUUGA
rnacentral:rRNA from 1 species